GUGAGUAACGCGUGGAUAACCUGCCUUAUACAGGGGGAUAACGGAGAGAAAUUUCCGCUAAGACCGCAUAAGACCACAGCACCGCAUGGUGCAGGGGUAAAAUAUUUAUAGGUAUAAGAUGGAUCCGCGUCCGAUUAGCUAGUUGGUGAGGUAGAGGCUCACCAAGGCGACGAUCGGUAGCCGGCCUGAGAGGGUGAACGGCCACAUUGGGACUGAGACACGGCCCAAACUCC
rnacentral:rRNA from 1 species